UACGUCUUUUAUUUUACCCGAUCACGGUGCUAGCUUACGUUGGCAGCAGUUCGAAGAAAUGGUCAUUGUUAUCGUUAUUAUGGUUUUGGUCUAAGUCGGUUUUUUCAGGUCUACAAUCAGGCAGGCGAGCGCUGUAGCAGGUUUACUUCCAAGCAGUAGGUCUCAGAGAAUACCUUGAAAAACCAGACAGAGUCUGCAUCCCAAAGCAAGUGAAAAUGCAAAUAGAAAGCGGUUCAACACAAAAUUCACAAGAUCUUAACCCAUCGGAUGCAAAAAAUAACAUGGAAUCCCGUGAAAAGAAUAUGGAAAAUGGUGAAGAAGACGAAGAUUACUCGGAAUACAUUCCUGUGAAGAAGCGCAGACUUAUGGAAGCUCAAAAGAUUUUGCAAAGAAAGGGGAAGGGUUCUCUGGACGCAGAACAAGCAGCCAAGGCGGCAGAGGCGAAACCUAGCUUACUCGUAAAGGCCUCGCAGCUCAAAAAGGAUUUACCCGAAAUAAGCCCUACAGAGCAGCUCCUACAGCAGGAAAAAGAAAUGAUUGAAAGGCUUUCUGACCGGAAAACCCUAAUGUCCGUAAGGGAACUGGCCAAGGGAAUUCAAUACCACGAGCCCAUGGUAACCGGCUGGAAACCGCCUACUGCAAUCCGUCACAUGACGGAGUCAGAAUGCGAUGCCGUCAGAAAACAGUGGCAUAUUUUGGUCGAUGGCGAGCAAAUUCCUCCUCCGAUUAAGAAUUUUAAGGACAUGAGGCUCCCCGAGCCUAUACUGAAGAAGCUCAAGUUGAAAGGGAUUGUGCAGCCGACGCCUAUACAGGUUCAGGGUUUGCCAGUCAUACUUUCCGGCCGUGAUAUGAUUGGGAUUGCUUUUACUGGCUCGGGGAAAACCCUGGUUUUUGUGUUGCCUUUGAUUAUGGCGGCUUUACAGGAAGAAGUAACUUUCCCGAUCAUUGCCGGUGAAGGUCCAUUUGGAUUGGUGAUUUGUCCCUCGAGAGAGCUUGCCAGGCAGACGUUUGAGGUUGUGGAGGAGUUUGUAGGGGUUCUGAAGGAGCGAGGGUAUCCAGAACUGCGGCCAAUGCUCUGCAUUGGAGGAAUUGAUAUGAGAUCUCAGUUGGAAGUUGUGAAGAAAGGAGUUCAUAUUGUUAUCGCCACGCCUGGCCGAUUGAAGGAUAUGCUGGCAAAGAAGAAGAUGAAUCUCGAUAAUUGCAGGUACCUAACUCUAGAUGAGGCAGAUAGGCUGGUUGAUCUUGGAUUUGAGGAUGACAUUAGAGAGGUUUUUGAUCAUUUUAAAGCCCAACGUCAAACCUUGCUCUUUUCUGCAACUAUGCCAAAGAAAAUACAGAAUUUUGCAAGAAGUGCUCUGGUCAAGCCUGUAACUGUGAAUGUAGGUAGAGCUGGUGCAGCAAACUUGGAUGUCAUACAGGAAGUGGAGUAUGUCAAACAAGAGGCAAAGAUUGUUUAUCUAUUGGAAUGUUUGCAGAAGACUCCACCUCCUGUUCUCAUCUUCUGUGAAAAUAAGGCAGACGUGGAUGAUAUUCAUGAAUAUCUCCUUUUGAAAGGUGUAGAAGCUGUGGCAAUACAUGGAGGAAAGGAUCAGGAAGAAAGAGAGUAUGCAAUUUCAGCUUUCAAAGCUGGCAAAAAGGAUGUCUUAGUGGCAACUGAUGUCGCAUCAAAGGGGCUUGAUUUUCCUGACAUUCAGCAUGUUAUUAAUUAUGAUAUGCCUGCAGAAAUAGAGAAUUAUGUGCACAGAAUUGGCAGGACUGGAAGGUGUGGAAAAACUGGAAUUGCAACCACCUUUAUCAAUAAGAACCAAAGUGAGACAACUCUUCUUGACCUCAAACAUCUCUUAAAGGAAGCCAAACAGAGGAUACCACCUGUGCUGGCAACACUGGAUGAUCCUAUGGAGAAUGUCGAUGCUAUUGUUAGUGCAAGUGGAGUAAAGGGCUGUGCUUAUUGUGGAGGACUUGGGCAUCGCAUUGGAGAGUGUCCAAAACUCGAGCAUCAAAAGAGCGUGGCUAUUGCAGGCACAAGACGCGACUAUUUCGGUUCUGGGGGAUAUGGAGGGGAGAUCUGAUAUUUGUUUGGCUUUAUUCACUGGAGCCCUAUCCAAGCAUUAGAGCUCUUAGCACUAAAGAUCAUUACUUAAAAAAUGAUGGAAAAAUUCCAUCAGCUUGCAAAUCCAUUUUAGGGCCACAAAUAUAGCUUUGUUUGUAUGUCUUGAGUGCUUUUCAGUAUCUGCAAAGUUGGGAAUGAAUGCAUUCGGCCUUGCCGAGUGGGGAGUAGUUCAUCUAUGCUUCAGAUCGACAAUUGCAGAAUGCUCUGAUCACUUUUCUGAGUUUGCUGAUGAAGAGAUUAUUGUAGGUGGCGCGUUUGAAGUUUUGAGGCGGUGGCAGGAAACUUGGAAAGGCAUGAAACACUGAGCUGAUCUAACCUUAUCGCGUUGUACAAUGGGAUAUAUUAUUCUUUGUAAUCAUAUUUCAAAACUUCUAAAGUUGACAGUUGCUUCUGAAGGUCUUAUUCUCUUCACAGCUUGAGAGAAUAAAUGUGGCUGUUGGGGCACACUGAUAAAUUUCUUACUAAUUGAUAAUGCUACUUUCUAGUAUCUGUCCUCAAAGUUCCCUCUUAUUUCACAAAAUGCUAAGUGAAGGAUCAGUUUUUGGCAACCUAAGAAAGUUUUUACUUUAUCA